AUUAGGUUUAAUAACUCACUAAUUAGCAUUAAGGCUUAAAAGUGGCAAUUAGGGUUACCCAUUUAGCAAUUAGGGUUACAAUUAUAUAAAUUAGGGUUUAUAAUAUAAAUAUUAGGAUUUUCUAAAAAUUUAAUAUUUCUAAAUAUUAAUUAGGGUUUACCUAAUCAAUAUAAAAUUGUAUAAUACUUCACCUUAAUCAUAAUCACACAAUUACAUAGCAGUUUCGAACUCAAAUUGAGUUUUAAAUUAGGGUUUCUAAUUAAGGUUUCUAACUUUUAGAAAUUAGGGUUUUUAAG
rnacentral:lncRNA from 1 species